rnacentral:rRNA from 1 species
AUUGAACGCUGGCGGCAUGCCUUACACAUGCAAGUCGAACGGCAGCACGGGGCAACCUGGUGGCGAGUGGCGAACGGGUGAGUGAUGCAUCGGAACGUACCUUUCAGUGGGGGAUAACGUAGCGAAAGUUACGCUAAUACCGCAUAUUCUGUGAGCAGGAAAGCAGGGGAUCGCAAGACCUUGCGCUGAUUGAGCGGCCGAUGUCAGAUUAGCUAGUUGGUGAGGUAAAGGCUCACCAAGGCGACGAUCUGUAGCGGGUCUGAGAGGAUGAUCCGCCACACUGGAACUGAGACACGGUCCAGACUCCUACGGGAGGCAGCAGUGGGGAAUUUUGGACAAUGGGGGCAACCCUGAUCCAGCCAUGCCGCGUGAGUGAAGAAGGCCUUUGGGUUGUAAAGCUCUUUCGGCCGGGAAGAAAUCGCACGGGCUAAUACCCUGUGUGGAUGACGGUACCGGAAUAAGAAGCACCGGCUAACUACGUGCCAGCCGCCGCCGUAAAAC